rnacentral:ncRNA from 1 species
CAUCUUCAGGGCAGGGUGCAAUUCCCUACCGGUGGUACAGCCCACGAGCCGCAAGGCAUGAUUCGGUGAAACUCCGAAGCCGACAGUACAGUCUGGAUGAAAGAAGAUG